rnacentral:tRNA from 1 species
ACUUAAAUAGCUUAUAAUAGAGCAUAAUAUUGAAGAUAUUAAGGAAAUAGAAAAUAUUUUUAAGUA